ensembl:lncRNA
UAUUUUGUACCUGCAGCACUGUUUUUAUUCAUUGUUCAAAUGUGAUUAAAUCCACACACCAUUAGAUGUAAUGCACCUCACAGAGGUUUUUAUUUUAUAAUAACUAUGUACAAGUUAUAAACAAAUCUAAAAAUAAACAAAAAAGGAGUAAAGCAGCAUUCAACUGUUGCGCUGUUACAGUGAACAGUCAGAAAUAUCUUUAGUUUCUCUAGGCUCUGAAACAAGUAACAUCAGGAGAAAAUCAAACAAGGUGCGAAAUGCUGGUGGAGUGUGUUCUGAGCUCCACUUUCAGAUCAAACACCAUGACAGAAAAGCUUCAGAACAGCACAGAUAAUCCAGAGAGUUUAACACCAUCUACAGUGUUACACGCAUGUACUGUAUGAUGUCAUUCCCUCAGAACCGACACACAAGACUUACAGGGACAGUUCUCCGAAAAUAACAAUUCUCUCAUCAUUUACUCACCCUCACGUUAUUCCAAACCUGUAUGAGUUUCUGUCUUCUGUUGAACACAAAAGCAGGUAUUCUGAAGAAUGUUGGCAACCAAACAUUUGCUGGUAGCCUUUGACUGCCAUAGUAUUUUUUUUUUUCCAUAUUAUGGAGGUCAGUGGGUACCAGAAACUGUUCUCUUACCAGCGUUCUUCAAAAUAUCAGGUUUGGAGCAACUUGAGGGUGAGUAAAUGAUGACAGAAUUUUCCUUUUUUUUUUUUUUUUUGGUUAACUGUCCCUUUAAUCCUCCUCUUGUGCUACACGCAAGUGUCCAGCAGAGGGAGACAUACUGAUCCAUUACUGACUGCUGAAUGACAGAUGAAGAUGAAGAUGAAGAUGAACUGAAUGUACUGAAGAUGUACUGAAGUGACCUAAAGACAAAAAAGAGAGCAAUUAUAAUACAAUACAACUAGAUUUGUCAAAACAAACUUUAUGUUGACUGAGAAAGCCUAGCCAGAGAGUUUGGAUCAGGUUUUUUUUUAAUAGUUUAUUUGGUUGUUGCUAAGGUACUUUAAACUGUUUCUAGGGUGUCGCUAUGCAGUUGCUAGUGUGUUCUGGUUGGUUUCUUAAGUGUUGCUAUGUGGUUGCUAGGGUCUUGUGGCAGGUGCCAUGCAGUUGCUAAGGUAUUAUAGGUGGUUACUAGGGUGUUGUUAUGUGGUUGCUAGGGUAUUUUGAAUGGUUGUUAGGCGGUUGCUAUGUUUUGGGUGAAGUUCUUCUGAAGGUUUUAAUGCUAGGGUUCUACUUUGUUGUUGCUGGGGUAUUCUGGAUGGUUUCUAGGUGGUUGCUAAGGUAUUUUGGGCCGUUUCUAUGGUGUUGCUAUUCAGUGUUCAGGGAAGUUGCUUAGGUGUUGCUGUGUGGUUGCUAGGGUAUUGUGGCUGGUGCCCUGCAGUUAUUAUAGUUGGUUACUCCGGUGCUGGUAUGUGGUUGCUACGGUGUUCUGAAUGGUUGCUAGGAUUUGGGGGAAGUUCUUCUGAAGGUUUUAACGCUGGGGUGUUGCUAUGUGGUUGCUAGGGUGUUGCUAGGGUGUUCUGGGUGGAUGCUAGGUGGUUUCUAAGGUAUUCUGGGCUAUUUCUAGGGUGUUGUUAUGCAAUUGCUAGUGUGUUCUGAGUGGUUACUUAGGUGUUGCUAUGUGGUUGCUAGGUUGUUUCCGAUGCUAAAAAAAGCCAAAAACACAUUUAAUUCUUAUUUCAGUUCCACACAUCACUUGUAUCUCCUUCUCUGUAGACGAUCUGUGAAUCUCACCUCAUCUCUGACCGUUUCUGAUUCUGAAUGAAACUCUACAAGUCUGUCUAUAUCCAGAAACACUGGAAUAAACAAAAACAAUUAUAAGUUUAAAUCAGGACUUCAUCAAGAAAAGAAUAUGACAUAUAGGAGAGACCGGGGCAAGUUGUCACAGGGUCUGUAUUUCUAUGGAGGGAUUAUUGGGUCAGAUUAUAAACUAAAAUCUGACCCAAUAAUCCCUCCAUAUAUUUCAGUAACGUUUUUCAGUAAAUGACACAAAUACUUUAAAACUUAAAUAAACACAAUAAAACAAACUGACGUACAUUAAGAUACGAAUCAGCUAUAUAAUGAAGUUUAAUAGGGGCAAGUUGUCACAAAUUUUAAAAGCUAGAAGUUACAUUUUAGUAGUUUUUAAGUACUGUUUAUUAGAACAACGACACAAUGAUUUGAAUUUUCUGUGUGUUACUUUUUGUUAAAAAGCCUAAAUUAAAAUGUAAUAACAUCCUGUUUAAUGUCAGGUUUCAUUGUGACAACCUGCCCCAUACAAAUGUCAACAUGCGUUAACUGAACCGGAAAAUAAUUUUGGGAGGAGUUUAUUCUUACUCAUAAUACAAACCAACAGCUGCUUAUCUCACGCCUCCAUCCACCUCCACAAACCCCACCUUGUCCUUGUUUUAUCACUGCUAUGUAUUAACCAACUCUUGAAGGCUUUCAUGCUAUUUAUUAUAUAUACUGAAAUAAAUACCGUGACAGCUAGCCUCGGCCUUCCUUUUCUGUAAUAAUAAGGCAAACGUAACACAGACAAAAUACUCACUGUUUGGUUUUUGCUCCAUGCUGUCUCUGCGAAUAAUCUUCAGUGAUUCUUUAGACUUUGAGUCUUUCUCUCUGCUGCCCAUCUCUCAUUUAAUGCCUUUAUCUCUUCUCACAUGUGAUCUGUCACAUAUCACCGUCCCUCCACAAUCUCCUCUAGAAUGUAAAAAGUGAAUCGAUGAGGAGCAGAAACAUCCACAUCAGCUCUGUGUGUUACUGAAAAUCCUGUAAUAUCUCCCUGAUGACUGAAGAGAACAGAACAAGAGCUCAGAGAGAAGAAAUGCACCGAGAGAGA